rnacentral:rRNA from 1 species
AAAUUGAAGAGUUUGAUCAUGGCUCAGAUUGAACGCUGGCGGCAGGCCUAACACAUGCAAGUCGAACGGUAACAGGAAUCAGCUUGCUGAUUCGCUGACGAGUGGCGGACGGGUGAGUAAUGUCUGGGAAACUGCCUGAUGGAGGGGGAUAACUACUGGAAACGGUAGCUAAUACCGCAUAACGUCGCAAGACCAAAGAGGGGGACCUUCGGGCCUCUUGCCAUCGGAUGUGCCCAGAUGGGAUUAGCUAGUAGGUGGGGUAACGGCUCACCUAGGCGACGAUCCCUAGCUGGUCUGAGAGGAUGACCAGCCACACUGGAACUGAGACACGGUCCAGACUCCUACGGGAGGCAGCAGUGGGGAAUAUUGCACAAUGGGCGCAAGCCUGAUGCAGCCAUGCCGCGUGUAUGAAGAAGGCCUUCGGGUUGUAAAGUACUUUCAGCGGGGAGGAAGGGAGUAAAGUUAAUACCUUUGCUCAUUGACGUUACCCGCAGAAGAAGCACCGGCUAACUCCGUGCCAGCAGCCGCGGUAAUACGGAGGGUGCAAGCGUUAAUCGGAAUUACUGGGCGUAAAGCGCACGCAGGCGGUUUGUUAAGUCAGAUGUGAAAUCCCCGGGCUCAACCUGGGAACUGCAUCUGAUACUGGCAAGCUUGAGUCUCGUAGAGGGGGGUAGAAUUCCAGGUGUAGCGGUGAAAUGCGUAGAGAUCUGGAGGAAUACCGGUGGCGAAGGCGGCCCCCUGGACGAAGACUGACGCUCAGGUGCGAAAGCGUGGGGAGCAAACAGGAUUAGAUACCCUGGUAGUCCACGCCGUAAACGAUGUCGACUUGGAGGUUGUGCCCUUGAGGCGUGGCUUCCGGAGCUAACGCGUUAAGUCGACCGCCUGGGGAGUACGGCCGCAAGGUUAAAACUCAAAUGAAUUGACGGGGGCCCGCACAAGCGGUGGAGCAUGUGGUUUAAUUCGAUGCAACGCGAAGAACCUUACCUGGUCUUGACAUCCACGGAAGUUUUCAGAGAUGAGAAUGUGCCUUCGGGAACCGUGAGACAGGUGCUGCAUGGCUGUCGUCAGCUCGUGUUGUGAAAUGUUGGGUUAAGUCCCGCAACGAGCGCAACCCUUAUCCUUUGUUGCCAGCGGUCCGGCCGGGAACUCAAAGGAGACUGCCAGUGAUAAACUGGAGGAAGGUGGGGAUGACGUCAAGUCAUCAUGGCCCUUACGACCAGGGCUACACACGUGCUACAAUGGCGCAUACAAAGAGAAGCGACCUCGCGAGAGUAAGCGGACCUCAUAAAGUGCGUCGUAGUCCGGAUUGGAGUCUGCAACUCGACUCCAUGAAGUCGGAAUCGCUAGUAAUCGUGGAUCAGAAUGCCACGGUGAAUACGUUCCCGGGCCUUGUACACACCGCCCGUCACACCAUGGGAGUGGGUUGCAAAAGAAGUAGGUAGCUUAACCUUCGGGAGGGCGCUUACCACUUUGUGAUUCAUGACUGGGGUGAAGUCGUAACAAGGUAACCGUAGGGGAACCUGCGGUUGGAUCACCUCCUUA